UACAGAGGUCCCAAGCGUUGUUCGGAUUCAUUGGGCGUAAGGGGUGCGUAGGUGGCGUCGUAAGUCGGGUGUGAGAUCUCGGGGCUUAACUCCGAAACUGCAUUCGAUACUGCGGUGCUUGAGGACUGGAGAGGAGACUGGAAUUUACGGUGUAGCAGUGAAAUGCGUAGAUAUCGUAAGGAAGACCAGUGGCGAAGGCGGGUCUCUGGACAGUUCCUGACGCUGAGACACGAAGGCCAGGGGAGCAAACAGG
rnacentral:rRNA from 1 species